ACUUUUUAAAUUUUAAACAUUGCCAACAGAGAGGCAAUACUAAAUAAAACUGUGCUCUGAAGCUCUUCUCCCCUCCACGUAGUCCCACCGAUUGCUUCUGAAAUGACAGGUAAAUAAGGUAAUGCUGUAAAUAAGCUUUUUUUCUACAUUGGGCAUCAUAGGCAGCAAGUCUGUCACCAUUGCAGUGGCUGUUUGCACAUCCUGCCUCAAGUGCUAGGUCACAGUAGCGGGUUGUGUGAACUUUUGCCCUUUUCAAUGAGUUACUUUAAGGAAGGAGGAAUUGGAUUGUGAAACUUCCUUGUGACUGACUCAACCUCUCAAGAAUAAAUGUGCUGGAAAGCCUUUGUGUGAGGUCCACUGAAAGAGCCUUCAAGAGGCCUUAAAUAAAUUGCUUCACAGUUGGGGGGGACGGGUGAGUUUGGCUGCACUUGAUCAUGGUCUUGGUAAAUUGAAAUGUGCUGACGUAUUACUGAGCAACAAUGAUUUCCAACCAAAGAAUAUUCCAGGGUGGUAUGCAUUUACAACGGGAGCAAAAUACAACCAGAGAAUGAAAACUAGCAUUGCUUCCCUUUGGUUAAUGUAAAUCAAACCUGAACAGUUACUUUCACAAUACAGUGAUACCUCGGGUUAAGUACUUAAUUCAUUCUGGAGGUCCGUUCUUAACCUGAAACUGUUCUUAACCUGAAGCACCACUUUAGCUAAUGGGGCCUCCUGCUGCUGCCGCUCUGUAAGAGCACAAUUUCUGUUCUCAUCCUGAAGCAAAGUUCUUAACCUGAAGCACUAUUUCUGGGUUAGCGGAGUGUGUAACCUGAAGCGUAUGUAACCCGAGGUACCACUGUAUAGUUGUUACAGACAGCCUCACUGAAGAUGGGUGCUGGGUGACACUGCUAAUAUAAUGGGUGCAAUAAUUAACACCCCCCAUCAUAUUCACACAGCAGAGGUCAAUAAUUAAUUGUUUGUACUACCUUUUAUGUUUAGCAGUCACAAAGGUAUUUUUCUGUGAAGACCCACUCCCUACCCAGAGGUUCAAAGUAUGAGGAGGCACUACAGGGGGCAACCAUUUUGCAUGCAUCCAAUUGGUGCAUGACCGCUGAUGCAGAUCCUUUUGGACCAGGAAAAGGGCAAACCAGGGACAGGCGUAAUGAGGCGGGCUUAUGCACACUCCACCAAUGUGUGCAGGAGCCCAGAAUGGAAGCCUAUGCAAAAUGGUCACCCCCUGUACUGUACAUUUAUUUAAUUGCACUCUUUGAGGUUUUAACAAAACUUAAUUUAAAACACACACUCUUUUCAGAGCAGCUUUUAAGCAGCACUCGUUUGAAACCAAGUGUCCUGAAACCCUGGCCUACCUUGCAACAAGUCAGUAUGCCAAGUCUAAAAUCCAAAGUCCAAGGGUCCAGAAACACAGUCCAGGGUCAAUCCAUGUAGAGUUGUAGACCAAGUCUGACGCAGUCAGGAUACAGUUCAGAGUCACACCCAAAGCACAGUACCCUAAGGGCCAGGAACAUGGAUCGUUGAGCAGACACAGACCCUCAGCUCUGCUUUAGCUUUUAUACCUUCCAUGCUGAUUGCAGCAUCUGGGCUUGGUGAGACAUGUGACCCUCACUUGCUUCAAGCCUACUCCAGCUGAAGAAGAACACAUGUUCUCUCAGAGCUAGCAAGCCCCACCUGGCCAGCUAGGGAACUGGGCUGUGGGCCUUUGCCUGCCUCAGCCUCCUGGAGCACCCCGUCUGCUGCUCCCAAUGCCUCAGAGUCUGCUGCUUUCGUGGGGACAGGGCCCUCUCUGGUGAUGUGUCCUGCCGCUCUGGUUUCUGUGCACUGACCUCCAAUCCCUCACCAACCUCCGUCACCCUGUGAGUACUUCGUUCCCCAUCCUCUGCUUCCCCAGUGUGUCCCAGUCCUGGCUCCAGCCUUCUUCCUUCUCACCAUAAUCCUGCCAGUUCAUGACACCAAGUCUCAGAGGUAGACUUUUCCCACCUAGAAUGGCUGUCAGUGUUCUAACCAAGAACAACCACUCAGCUCUUUCUAGGACUUAACUUAUCCACUGGGAAUCCAAACCAGGUUUCCCUGCCAAUACUAAAGACUUGGUCCCUUGCAAAGGCCAACAAAAAAUCAGGAGUGUGUUGAACUACCCUAAUUCCCCAUCAGAGGAUCUCAAUGAUCAAGAUGGAGCAUGGGAUCAGAUCAUCCUAAAGGUACUUUGGGCCCAAGUUGUUUGAUCCAGCAGCUUCUGGAAGGAUCCAGAUUGGGGAAGGCUGAUACAGUGGAUUCAUUUUGUUGUAUGAAGACUAUGCAAUGCGAAUAGGCUCUGUCGUAAGUAGCCGCUUCCAGGUAUGGCAUUUGCACAUAUGUGCUCACAUGCCAGCCCAGUAUAAGCCCCACUUAAUUGUCCCAUUCUUCCCAGCUGCUAGUCUAUGGCUGCCCAUUUCUCUUUCUCCUUUCUUUAGCUGUGGUUUCCCAAUGACUGGCUUCUUUUCGCUCUAACUCUAUUCAGCAGCAUCUCAACAAUGAAUUAAGAAAACUAACUUGCUAUUUGCUUCCCAGAGGUAUUGAGCAAUGAAAAGACUUGAACAUGAACAGGACAAUAGAGAGAAUGCAGAGAUGCCAUGUCACUGAGCUCUUUCUGAAUAGAAGACAUAUUCCUAUUUCAUUUUGCAAGGUACUUCUUUGGGAGAUAUUUAUUUGUAGUGACAUUAAUCAAAUGUAAAAAGCUAGAUGUAAGUAGCACAACUGGUAGUGCUAUGAUCAGAUAUGUUUAGACCUGUGUUCAUAUAGUAGCAUAUAUUUCUAGGUAGCAAGGGUUUUCCUCUUGCAAUUAUUCAAUGGCAUCAAAAUUAGGCUUUGGGAAAACAUUGUUUCAAGGUUUUGACCUUUUCAGUCGGUACUCAAGUGUAUGUUUUCCAUCUAAAUCUUGUACAGCUGAGCCACUGACAUUUCCAGUUUCUGCAGACCUAGAUCUGGAAACAGCAGCCAGCAAAAUCACAGAAGAUAUUGUGUGCCUUAGUUUACAUUAAUUUGACAGCCUAAAUAGGAUUGUCGCUUAAUAUGCCUGUCAAGUGUAGCUAAAUAGCCCUGACACUUAAAUUACAUAGCUGCAUAUCUUCUGCACAAUGAACCAGGGAGGAUUCAGAGAUAGACCAUUCAUAACUUCCCAGGUUUGAUCCCAGGUAAAAAGCAUCAAGUAGAAAAUGAUGUAAAAUACCUUUGCCCAUGUCCCCAAAGAGCUGUUUCUAGUCACAGAAGAUAAUGCUGAUCUGGACUGACAAAUAGUCUGAUAUGGCGAGAUGCAGUUCCCUAUGUUCUUAACAUGCAAUGCAAUUCCUGAGAAUCGGUUACUGUUUUGCAAAAUAUUUCUACUCUAUAUGAAUGCUGAGAAAAAAUUAUGUUCACUGUCCAAUUGCAGAGGUGGAGUAGACUAGUUUUCAGUGAUGAGAUGUGGAGCCCACUCAAUGUGUCUGUGCCUCCAUUGCUUGGUUGCUAGGCCAAGACCUUGAAGGGACUUCUACAAUGUCUAUAAAGAGACUGUGAACAUGUACCAUUUUCUUUUCAAAGUGCUGAAAUUACCAGGGAAGUCACACGUGAGAAUUCAGUCUGACUUUCAUUUUACAGGAACCUUUUCAGGGCCUGGACCUGGCAACAUUACUCCCCAGUUUCUGGUAUCCAUGUUUUCAUCUUCCGCCUUCUUGCUCUGUCAUUGCCUUAUAUACCCAACUUAACUGUGCACUCUACAGAUGAGCGCCUCCUGCAGAUAGCAUUUUAUCUGGAGGUCCAUUUCACACAAUGUAGGAAUCAGCCCUUAAGUGUUGUGGCAUUAAUGUGUGGCAUGCACUGGGGAAAAAGGAAUCACUUGUAUUUCAGUUUUCUAUUGAUAGUUUAUGUCAGGGAUGUCUUCCUGAAUAAAAUUUCAUGUAUGAAUGACAAAUGCUCCCUCCUGCCCCUUAAUUAUGGCUGAAUCUUAAAAACAACAACAACUCAGAUCUAAACAGAGGUAUACCACCACCUCUAUUCAAAAUUGUGUAACUGUAUUUAUAAAUGGAGCUGUAAAAAAUCCACAGCAUAAUUGAGCAAUCACUACGCAUAAGUAAGUCCCAUUGACUUCAUUGUGGUUUGCUGCAGGACUAUUGAACCCAGUGGAUUUACUUUUAAAUUUGCGUAGAAUUUGUCUAGCCUUUACAUAAUUAGAGAACAGGACAGGUUCUGUCACCAUUGCAUAGGAUGCUGAUGACAGAAGAGUUUGUUUAUGUGAACACGUAUCAUUCCAAGUUUCAUUUAAGACAGCCAAAGAUAAUCUUGAGACAGCUGGAAGAAAGACUUUGAUUUGUUGCAGGUGGCUAGUGUGAGCUCUGUUUUAUUACUAGCUCUUUGAUUUGUAUGACCUCACCAGGAUCUGUUUUAUCAGUGAACAUGGGAGGUUGCUUAACUGAAGCAGGCAGUAAGCCCACCUUACCCAGUAAGUUUUCUCUGACAAAUAGCAGCUCUACAAGGUCUUAGGGCAGGGGUUUCUUCUGACCCCUGUAAUCUGUGAUCUGCUAAUGGAUGAUUUAUUUUUAUUAUUUUUAUUUUAUUUUAUUUUAUAGCACAUUUAUGCCACUCAAUAUUUCAAAAGUAUCAAAGUAAUUUAGAAUUUAAAACAAAUUAUAUCACUGAAGCAUUUAAAAAAACCAAAACCUCAACUUAGAAACAGUAAAAUGGCAAUAUGGAAACCUCUGAAUAUUUGCUGCACUGUCAACUGGUGUAAACCAAGCCGCUGUUUAACUUUGCCACAAGGAUGGUGUUAAUUCAUAGAGCAAGCGGGGCUGUAACAAUGGAAGCCCCCUCCUGUCAAAGUGCCCCCGCUGUAACCUUCCAAUGUGGACAGUGCACUCUUUUCACGCUUCCUGCACAUCAAAACAUAGAAGCUGUUUCCCCUUCCCGCUGCCUCUUUCCUUUCCAGUACCGUACAAACAACAAAAGUGAGAAAUGAGGGAAACAAGACUUUUAAGCAAGGAAUCCCCUGGGGUUGAAGCAAGAAGGUAAACUGCUGUAAAAGAUCCACAUGCAUGUUAUAACCUAAAUUAGAUUAUUUCCUUGGAAACAACUCUUCUGCUCCCCCAUAGAUUCCUCUGCGAGAACCCAAUUGUCCUUCAAAGGUGGAAAUGUCAUAAUUCCGACACGCUUCUGUAAGCUUUCUGGUGUUUUAUUCUGAGUGCCAAAUUCGAAAUUGCAAGUGUUAGAUAACUCAGCAAGCCAUCUGUAUGAUGCAAACCAUUUUACACACAGUAUUUGUUUGCCUUGAAUGCAUGGAAUGAAAGUGCUGAUCACAUCACUGCAACUCAUAAAGUAAAUAGAUCAAGAUGCCACAUAUUUGACCCUAAAUGCCAUGGUCCAGUGAGCCUUUUUAUACAAAAUAUGCUCAGCUGCAGUGUUGUCUAUCAGGUGGUUAUAAAAAAAACCCCUACAACGCAAAAUCUGAGGCUAAGGUUGCUUUCCUAUGUACACUUACUGGGGUGCAAGGCCCAAUGAACACUGUCAGCUUGACUAAUAUUACUGUGCACUGUAAAAGUUAAAGGCGCUUUGUAUAUAACUUCUAGCCCUUAAUUCCUUUUUCAUUUGAUUUAUGAAUUCUCUUUUACAAGGUCAUUUACAAACAUACAAUAAGAACAGCU